AUGCUACAGGCUUAACACAUGCAAGUCGAGGGGCAUCAGGAAGAAAGCUUGCUUUCUUUGCUGGCGACCGGCGCACGGGUGAGUAACACGUAUCCAACCUGCCCUUUACUCGGGGAUAGCCUUUCGAAAGAAAGAUUAAUACCCGAUAGCAUAAUGAUUCCGCAUGGUUUCAUUAUUAAAGGAUUCCGGUAAAGGAUGGGGAUGCGUUCCAUUAGGUUGUUGGUGAGGUAACGGCCCACCAAGCCUUCGAUGGAUAGGGGUUCUGAGAGGAAGGUCCCCCACAUUGGAACUGAGACACGGUCCAAACUCCUACGGGAGGCAGCAGUGAGGAAUAUUGGUCAAUGGGCGCUAGCCUGAACCAGCCAAGUAGCGUGAAGGAUGAAGGCUCUAUGGGUCGUAAACUUCUUUUAUAUAAGAAUAAAGUGCAGUAUGUAUAUUGUUUUGUAUGUAUUAUAUGAAUAAGGAUCGGCUAACUCCGUGCCAGCAGCCGCGGUAAUACGGAGGAUCCGAGCGUUAUCCGGAUUUAUUGGGUUUAAAGGGAGCGUAGGUGGACUGGUAAGUCAGUUGUGAAAGUUUGCGGCUCAACCGUAAAAUUGCAGUUGAUACUGUCAGUCUUGAGUACAGUAGAGGUGGGCGGAAUUCGUGGUGUAGCGGUGAAAUGCUUAGAUAUCACGAAGAACUCCGAUUGCGAAGGCAGCUCACUGGACUGCAACUGACACUGAUGCUCGAAAGUGUGGGUAUCAAACAGGAUUAGAUACCCUGGUAGUCCACACAGUAAACGAUGAAUACUCGCUGUUUGCGAUAUACAGUAAGCGGCCAAGCGAAAGCAUUAAGUAUUCCACCUGGGGAGUACGCCGGCAACGGUGAAACUCAAAGGAAUUGACGGGGGCCCGCACAAGCGGAGGAACAUGUGGUUUAAUUCGAUGAUACGCGAGGAACCUUACCCGGGCUUAAAUUGCAGUGGAAUGAUGUGGAAACAUGUCAGUGAGCAAUCACCGCUGUGAAGGUGCUGCAUGGUUGUCGUCAGCUCGUGCCGUGAGGUGUCGGCUUAAGUGCCAUAACGAGCGCAACCCUUAUCUUUAGUUACUAACAGGUUAUGCUGAGGACUCUAGAGAGACUGCCGUCGUAAGAUGUGAGGAAGGUGGGGAUGACGUCAAAUCAGCACGGCCCUUACGUCCGGGGCUACACACGUGUUACAAUGGGGGGUACAGAAGGCAGCUAGCGGGUGACCGUAUGCUAAUCCCAAAAUCCUCUCUCAGUUCGGAUCGAAGUCUGCAACCCGACUUCGUGAAGCUGGAUUCGCUAGUAAUCGCGCAUCAGCCACGGCGCGGUGAAUACGUUCCCGGGCCUUGUACACACCGCCCGUCAAGCCAUGGGAGCCGGGGGUACCUGAAGUACGUAACCGCAAGGAUCGUCCUAGGGUAAAACUGGUGACUGGGGCUA
rnacentral:rRNA from 1 species